CCUACGGGAGACAGCAGUGAGGAAUAUUGGUCAAUGGGCGGGAGCCUGAACCAGCCAAGUCGCGUGAGGGAAGACGGUCCUAUGGAUUGUAAACCUCUUUAGGCGGGGAGCAAUGCCGGGCACGCGUGCCCGGAGGGAGAGUACCCGCAGAAUAAGCAUCGGCUAACUCCGUGCCAGCAGCGGCGGUAAUACGGAGGAUGCGAGCGUUAUCCGGAUUUAUUGGGUUAAAAGGGUGCGUAGGCGGAUUUUUAAGUCAGCGGUAAAAUGUCCGGGCUCAACCCGGGCCGGCCGUUGAAACUGGGGAUCUUGAGUGGGCGAGAGGUAUGCGGAAUGCGUGGUGUAGCGGUGAAAUGCAUAGAUAUCACGCAGAACUCCGAUUGCGAAGGCAGCAUACC
rnacentral:rRNA from 1 species